GUCUUAAGUCAAAACCAUGUCGUUUUACUUAAGGUAUAAAUAACCCCCAAAAAAUCAUAAUUUCUUCAUUUUUUUUUCUUUUCUUUCUCUCUUUAGAGUCUCUCUAGACUCUCUCUCUUAUGGGAUUUUCGAUUGCUAUUGUCGGUCAUGGUGUCGUAGCUAGUCACCACACGUCAUCACUAUCCGAUAUCCGAUCAAGUUCAAAAUUUCACCAUUUUUUCUUCUUGGCCUCCUCGUCUUUGAACUGGGCUUUGAUUUUUAAUAAACAACUUUCAAUGACAUAGAUCUAGAAAAGAAGUCACAACAUUCUACUAUCUUUUCAGCCUCUUUCCACCAUCCAAUUAAGCUAAGAUUUUAGUAUGUUGCUUUCUCCACAAUCGUCCCUCUUUUCAUCAUUCCAAUGUCCUAACAAACAUAUCGACCGUUGUCGAUCACUAUAGCCAUUGAAGGUGCCCCCCUUUUUCUUUUUUCCUUUUUUCCUUUUCCUUGUUCAAUUCUUUGUUUCUGAUUUUGCUUUUUGUGCCUAUUUGAGUUUUUUUGUUGUGGCGAGAUUUAUGGGCAGUUGCUCAACAAGAAAUAACUGAUGGUGAUAGAAUCAGGCAUUGACAGUGAAGAGCUAUUGUGGUGUUUAUUUCCUUUAGCCGGUUGCUUUUUGUGUAAUUGUUGCUAGGUUUUUCUUUGUGUUUCUUGUGGAUUUUUGUUUCAAUUUGAAUUUUUGGCUAUGUUUGUAGGGUACUGUUUUUAAUGAUAAUGUUAUAGAUUUAUUAUGGAAUUGGGUUUUCUGAUUAGAGCUUAUUUUUUGGGUAAAUUAUUUGGGUUUAUUACUUCUGUGUUGAGAAUUGUUUGCUAGGUUUAGGCUGUGGAUUUGGUUCUGGAAGCUUCGUUGAAAACUUUGCCUUACCUCUAUGCUGAUUUUUCUCCUUGUUGAUUCCUAUCUAUUCAUGGCUUUGAAUUGCUUAUGGUUGAUGUUGAUGAUUGUAUGAUUGAUUUGCUUCUUGCUUUCCAUUUAUUGCAUAACCAAAAAUUUCACAAGCGCAUAUUUUCUCAGAAUAAAUUCAUCCCUUUUGAUCUCAAUUUUGUGUUGAUUUUAUAAAGAUCUUGUUUCAAAUUAAGAGAACUCUUGAUCGAAAAAAGUAUCAAAGUCAUUUUCAAUUAAAGAUCAAACUUUGAUUCCAAUCAAAACUUUUGUACUUUGAAAAAACUUCAAUCUUGAACCAAUUCGGUUUUACUCAAACUUUUUAUUUUAAUAAUAAUAACUCUAAACUAAAUACAAUACAAAAAAUAAAAUAAAUAAAUAAAAAUUAAAAUUUAAUCUUAAAAUAUAAAUUGAC
rnacentral:lncRNA from 1 species